rnacentral:ncRNA from 16 species
GCAGAUGAUGAGCUUGACCACUUAUGAAACUAGAUGAUUUAUUAAAGGUAGCCUCUGAU